rnacentral:rRNA from 1 species
GACGAACGCUGGCGGCGUGCUUAACACAUGCAAGUCGAACGGAAAGGCCAUGCUUUUGUGGGGUGCUCGAGUGGCGAACGGGUGAGUAACACGUGAGUAACCUGCACUUGACUUUGGGAUAACUUCAGGAAACUGGGGCUAAUACAGGAUAGGAGCUCCUGCUCCAUGGUGGGGGUUGGAAAGUUUCGGCGGUUGGGUAUGGACUCGCGGCUUAUCAGCUUGUUUGUGGGGGAGUGGCUUACCAAGGCUUUGACGGGUAGCCGGCCUGAGAGCGUGACCGGCGUCAAUGGUACUGCGAGACGGCCCAGACUCCUACGGUAGGCAGCAGUGGAGAAUAUUGCACAAUGGGCGGAAGCGUGAGGCAGCAACGCCGCGUGCGGGAUGACGGCUUUCGGGUGGUAAACCACUUUCGCCUGUGACGAAGCCUUCGUGACGGUAACUGGUAAAGAAGCACCGGCUAACUACGUG